rnacentral:lncRNA from 1 species
AGCCGAGAUGGUCGCUCUGGUGAAGGAGAUUGUGGUCGCCGUGGAUGACGGCGGUUGUGUCUGGAUGGCACCGAUUGUGCCACCGGUUGCUCCGCCAGUGGCUAUGGUAGCUGAGUCUGCUGUUGCUGGAGGCUUCUGACUGCUUUUGUAAGAACAGUCAUCUACUGCACGAGUGCAGCGAUCUGGACGUCCGUGGUGACCACA